rnacentral:rRNA from 1 species
GACGAACGCUGGCGGCGUGCUUAACACAUGCCAGUCGAACGGUGAAGCGCCUUCCUUUUUGGUGGGUGUGGAUGAGUGGCGAACGGGUGAGUAACACGUGAGUAACCUGCCCCCUUCUUCUGGAUAACCGCAUGAAAGUGUGGCUAAUACGGGAUAUUCUGGGCCUGUCGCAUGAUGGGUCUGGGAAAGAUAUUGUUUCGGUGGGGGAUGGGCUCGCGGCCUAUCAGCUUGUUGGUGGGGUGAUGGCCUACCAAGGCGGUGACGGGUAGCCGGCCUGAGAGGGUGGACGGUCACACUGGGACUGAGACACGGCCCAGACUCCUACGGGAGGCAGCAGUGGGGAAUAUUGCACAAUGGGCGCAAGCCUGAUGCAGCGACGCCGCGUGAGGGAUGGAGGCCUUCGGGUUGUGAACCUCUUUCGCCAGUGAAGCAGGCCUGCCUCGUUUGUGGGUGGGUUGACGGUAGCUGGAUAAGAAGCGCCGGCUAACUACGUG